rnacentral:rRNA from 1 species
GUUUUUAGAUUAUAAUUGAAAAUCCAAUCUGCUCACUGAAUUAUUUUAAAGAGCCGCAGUAUUUUGACUGUGCAAAGGUAGCAUAAUCAAUAGUUUUUUAAUUGAAAGCUGGAAUGAAUGAUUAGACGAAAAAUUGACUUUCUUCAUUUUUAUAAAUUUAAUUUAAAAUUUAAGUUAAAAUUCUUAAGUAAAAUUAAAAGACGAGAAGACCCUAUAGAUUUUUAUUAAUUAUUAGGUUUAUAAAACUUAUAUUUAAUUUAAUUGGGGCGAUUUUGUAAUACAAUAAACUUAAUAAUAACUGAACCAUAAAUAAAUGAAUAUUUUGAUCAAAAAUUUUUUAAAUUAGUUUAAAUUACCUUAGGGAUAACAGCGUAAUUUUUUUUAAGAGUUCAUAUCUAUAAAAAAGUUUGCGACCUCGAUGUUGAAUUAAGAAAUAUAUUGGAGUAGAAAUUAAUAUAAAUUAGUCUGUUCGACUAUUAAAUUC